rnacentral:rRNA from 1 species
GGUAUGGGCGCAGCCUGAUCCAGCCAUACCGCGUGGGUGAAGAAGGCCUUCGGGUUGUAAAGCCCUUUUGUUGGGAAAGAAAUCCAGCUGGCUAAUACCCGGUUGGGAUGACGGUACCCAAAGAAUAAGCACCGGCUAACUACGUGCCAGCAGCCGCGGUAAU